rnacentral:rRNA from 1 species
CCUACGGGAGGCAGCAGUCGGGAAUUUUGGGCAAUGGGCGAAAGCCUGACCCAGCAACGCCGCGUGAAGGAUGAAAUCCCUCGGGAUGUAAACUUCGCAAGAACGGGAAGAAUAAGUCUGCGCAAAUAUCGCAGAUGAUGACGGUACUGUUUGUAAGCUCCGGCUAACUCCGUGCCAGCAGCCGCGGUAAUACGGGGGGAGCAAGCGUUGUUCGGAUUUACUGGGCGUAAAGGGCGCGUAGGCGGCCACCGCAAGUCGACUGUGAAAUCUCUGGGCUUAACCCAGAACGGUCAGCCGAUACUGCGGGGCUAGAGUGCAGAAGGGGCAACUGGAAUUCUCGGUGUAGCGGUGAAAUGCGUAGAUAUCGAGAGGAACACCUGCGGCGAAGGCGGGUUGCUGGGCUGACACUGACGCUGAGGCGCGAAAGCUAGGGGAGCGAA